GAUCGUCUGCAGUAGAAAUUCAUCAGAUGUAGCCUAGUUGUUAGAAAUUCGAGACGUGUUCAGUGUGUUCCGUUUUAAACAUUCUUUUGGGUACUCGUUAAUACGCUGAAAUUUUUCAUUUUUUUGUACCAACCUGAAGGACACUUUUUCACGACACACACACGAUUGUUUGAAAGUUGAUUUUUCACUAGACUUCAUUUGAAUGCAAUGUUUUCAUAUCUUUAGGUGCAGUUCCUAUCAUCAGACCUACAGUGUGCACAAAUAGGCAAUGGGAAAAAUCUGCUUAUUGUGCUGAUCUGCAUAAUGCCGACUUCAUUUCGUGAGCAGACGAACCAUUGAAAGAGCCCUGCGCAGUCUAGUUGCAUCCAGCCAGAUACUAGUAGAACCCAAAACAUUUUCUUGACAAGUGCUGCCAUAUUCCGGUUGCAGGUUUUCAGUAAAUACCAAGGAAGUGCUUUCAACACUGCAGGCUGGUCCUACGAGCUACGAAAGUUUUACCUACAAGCGUUUCGCGUUUCGUGCUGCAACUAUUAGUUGAUAUUCAAGGAUGUUAUGCCUAAAAUUGGAAUUCAGCUAUCAGAGAUUAGCAACAUUCAAACGGAAACUCUAGAUGGCGUUGAUGUGCGUUUAUGAUGAAGAUUAUGAGUGACAAGUCAAAUGGGUGUUUGUUACGUUACCCUGUUAAGUGUUUCAAAGGAUUUUUCGUCAAAAAAUUUACGAUUGCUUUUUGUAUGUGGUGGUGUUGCACCUUGUCAGCUAUGCCAGCUGCUGAACCAGUAGCCUGCAUUCCUGCUAUCAAUGUACCACAAGAGAUCCUGACACUUUUAGAAGGCAACUAUUGCUUACAUGAAGAUCACUAUCCAGUUCAAGUACUGUGAAUGGACCUCAAGCCAUUCUUUUAAGCUUAGGGAUGUGUUCUCUCACCAGUCAACGACAGAGUCUUCAUCUACUUUGAGUUGCUAACCAUCAGCCCUCAGGCCUUAGCAUCCCAGGCUUCUCUUCCUCUCAUCUCAGUCUGCUGAAUACCAACAUUGAAUAAUGUUCAUCAUCAUUGCCUUUCCAUGAAAAUCUUCAUUUUAAAUCCUGCUGUUCUUCUCACCGUUACUUAGCCAUCUCACAUGGAAAGGGUUUAACAACAUCUCAAUUUUUUGGACUGCAAAUAUUAAUUUUCUUUCGGUACAACACUGCCGUUUUGACAACUUCGGGAGUUUCACCCCCAGUGGACCAAACGCAACUAUAUUUUCUUCGUCUUCCUGUCGUUGUUGUCUACGACUUCACCUCAUCGCUGCCUUCGUUGACGUCUUCGCCUUCAUCUCCGUCUCGUCGUCUUGGUCGUCUUCGCCUUCAUCUCCGUCUCGUCGUCUUGGUCGUCUUCGCCUUCAUCUCCGUCUCGUCGUCUUGGUCGUCUUCGCCUUCAUCUCCGUCUCGUCGUCUUGGUCGUCUUCGCCUUCAUCUCCGUCUCGUCGUCUUGGUCGUCUUCGCCUUCAUCUCCGUCUCGUCGUCUUCGCCGUCUUUGUCUACGCCAUCACCUUGUCCCCGGCUUCUCCUUCAUCCUUUACAAGGGAAUUCACCGUGGAUCGUCGCUCUGGUAUUGUUUUAUUUUGCAUUGUAAUUGUU
rnacentral:lncRNA from 1 species